GAGAGUGUAAGAGAAGGGGCCACUUCCAGAUUGACUGCUGGUUCUCAGGCAGCAUUAGGAGAAGCUGAGAUUAACUGAGAAUUGAGUGUUGUUUGUGGCUGAGCAGUGGGCUAUCCACGAUGAUAAAGGUAAAUAGCAAGCUGGCCUUAUCCGUCUGUCCUCCCAGCAUGGUUAAAGGCUGGCUGGCUGCACAAGACCCACAACCUAAAUGGCUACAUCCUUAAUUUCCUCCAAAGAAGACAGAGGACCCUUCCUUACCAGAACCAAUUAGAAAAUUCUAGGGAAACACUGGUUCAUUUACCCACCCCUGCCCCAAGAGAUGCUUAUGAUUGACCUAGGAAGGAGAAAAUCCCUCCUCAAAAGAAGGGGGUGCUAAUCUAGGCUGAUAAUAAAGGUCUC